GUAGCCAAUCAGAGACCAAGACACAGAAUCAGCCAAUAGUCAGGCCCGUCUCUCAACGUGUGGGUUUUGUUUGUACAUGGCGAGGGAAAAGGCCGCGCGUGCACUGUGAGCUCGCUUUAUUUUGUAUACGCCGCUGGAACAACUACUUAAUCAUGGAGAGUCCGGAGGGUGAACGUAAUAGUCUAACUCCAAGGUCCAGGUCUAGAUCAAGGUCUCGCUUGGAGUCGGCUUCAAAUUCUCCAUCGCACCGCCGAGUCACCUCUCAGUCCCGUUCUCCACCUCCUCGCAGAAGGUCCUUCUCAAGGUCUCGCUCUCGUACACCUCGCCGUCACCGAUCUCGUAGUGGGUCUCCAAGAAAUGGGCAUGACAGUCGCCGCUAUCGGCGAUCUCGCUCCCCUCGUUCUAGAUCUCCCAUGUCCAAUCGUCGCAGACACAUUGGUACCCGCGACAACCCCGAGCCUUCCAAAUGUCUUGGAGUGUUUGGCCUCAGUGUAUACACAACUGAAAGACAGCUGCACAGCAUCUUUGACAAAUUUGGACCUCUAGAGAAAGUGCAAGUUGUACUGGAUUCAAAGACUGGAAAGUCAAGAGGAUUUGCCUUUGUGUACUUCGAGUCUCAGAAAGAUGCAACUGAAGCCAAGGAUGAAUGCACUGGCAUGGAAAUCGAUGGCCGUAGAAUUCGAGUAGAUUACUCAAUCACCAAACGUCCCCACACACCUACUCCAGGGAUCUACAUGGGGAGACCCACCACCCGUGGUCAUGACCGAGGGUAUGGUGGUCGAGGUGGCGGAGGGUACAGAGGAGACAGGUACCGCUCUCCCUCACCUCGUUACAGACGUUCCAGCGGGGGUGGUCGCCGUGACUAUUAUGAUCGUGGGUAUGUACCCAGCCUGGGAAUUACACCACAGCUCAAGCCACUACCAAACAAAAAGUAUACAUGUGGAGGCAAGCUAGUUAAGCAAGUGUACAGAAGCCUGUUGUAUAUGUCUCAAGGCUGAAGAUGAUGAACCACAAGUUAUUGGUGAAGGUUGUUAAGCAUUGAAUGACAAGUAUUAAGGUUCGUUAAGAUCAAGUUCCUUUGGCUGUUGGCAAGUCCACAUGAAACACAAUGUAAUUUGAAAGACAAGUUUGAAUUGAGGAUUCUCUAUAUAAGGAGGUACGAACGUGGUGGUGACCGAAGUUACUAUCGUAGUGGGUAUGACCGCUACGACCGCCCGCCACACUAUGAUCGCUAUGACAGAUAUGAUCGUUCUUAUGACAAGUACGAUCGCUAUGAACGGUCCAGAUCCCGCU